GAAAUGCGAUACGUAGUGUGAAUUGCAGAAUUCCGUGAACCAUCGAAUCUUUGAACGCAUAUUGCACUCGAGCCCUCGGGCAAGAGUAUGUCUGCCUCAGCGUCGGGUUGAUAUCACUCCACCACACCCUGUGUGGAUCACCGAGUGGACCUGGUCGUUCCAGCGAGCGUGGCUCUGAUCAUGUAUCAGAACUGCAUACGAGCAAGCUGGAUCGGCUGAAAAGUAGAGGUCAGCCAAGGACCCGUUCAUGGGCCGCAACUGGGUAGGCGAGUAUUCGCUUCUUGUCUAGUUGUUGGCUUGGGACUUUAGCUCGACCCCAAAACAGGAACCUUACUUAUUUUCUCGACCUGAGCUCAGGCAAGAACACCCGCUGAACUUAAGC
rnacentral:misc_RNA from 1 species